rnacentral:rRNA from 1 species
GACGAACGCUGGCGGCGUGCUUAACACAUGCAAGUCGAACGGAAAGGCCCUGCUUUUGUGGGGUGCUCGAGUGGCGAACGGGUGAGUAACACGUGAGUAACCUGCCCUUGACUUUGGGAUAACUUCAGGAAACUGGGGCUAAUACCGGAUAGGAGCUCCUGCUGCAUGGUGGGGGUUGGAAAGUUUCGGCGGUUGGGGAUGGACUCGCGGCUUAUCAGCUUGUUGGUGGGGUAGUGGCUUACCAAGGCUUUGACGGGUAGCCGGCCUGAGAGGGUGACCGGCCACAUGGGGACGGAGAUACGGCCCAGACUCCUACGGGAGGCAGCAGUGGGGAAUAUUGCACAAGGGGCGGAAGCCGGAUGCAGCAACGCCGCGUGCGGGAUGACGGCCUUCGGGUUGUAAACCGCUUUCGCCUGUGACGAAGCGUGAGUGACGGUAAUGGGUAAAGAAGCACCGGCUAACUACGU